UGAGGAAUAUUGGUCAAUGGACUCAAGUCUGAACCAGCCAAGUAGCGUGCAGGAUGACGGCCCUAUGGGUUGUAAAAUGCUUUUAUAUGGGGAUAAAGUGGGGAACGUGUUCCCUUUUGCAGGUACCAUAUGAAUAAGGACCGGCUAAUUCCGUGCCAGCAGCCGCGGUAAUACGGAAGGUUCGGGCGUUAUCCGGAUUUAUUGGGUUUAAAGGGAGCGUAGGCCGUUUGGUAAGCGUGUUGUGAAAUGUAGGAGCUCAACUUCUAGAUUGCAGCGCGAACUGUCAGACUUGAGUGCGCACAACGUAGGCGGAAUUCAUGGUGUAGCGAUGAAAUGCUUAGAUAUCAUGAAGAACUCCGAUUGCGAAGGCAGCUUACGGGAGCGCAACUGACGCUGAAGCUCGAAGGUGCGGGUAUCGAACAGG
rnacentral:rRNA from 1 species